AAUGACAUCUCCAAGAGAUAAUUGGAGUGAGAUGUCAGCCAACUGGAGUCCAAUCAAUGAGAUGAGAUUGGAGGUUUUGGUUACAGCUGCCCUGCCCUAUAAAAAACACACACCAGUUCUGGGUUUGCUUUUCACAAGAAGCAUUGCCCGAUGUGAAUGAUGCCUCACACAAAAGAGCUCUCAGAAGACCUACGAUUAAGAAUUGUUGACUUGCAUAAAGCUGGAAAGGGUUAUAAAAGUGUUGCUGUUCAUUGCUGUUCAUCAGUCCAGGGUAAGACAAAGUAUCUAUAAAUGGAGAAAGUUCAGCACUGCUGCUUCUCUCUUUUACAGGAGUGACCGUCCUGUAAAGAUGACUGCAAGAGCACAGCGCAGACUGCUCAAUGAGGUGAAGAAUAAUCCUAGAGUGUCAGCUAAACACUUACAAAAGUAACUGUACGUAAAACACUAAACAAGAAUGGAUUUC